rnacentral:rRNA from 1 species
UACGUAGGGUGCGAGCGUUGUCCGGAAUUACUGGGCGUAAAGAGCUCGUAGGUGGUUUGUCGCGUUGUUCGUGAAAACUCACAACUCAAUUGUGGGCGUGCGGGCGAUACGGGCAGACUGGAGUACUGCAGGGGAGACUGGAAUUCCUGGUGUAGCGGUGGAAUGCGCAGAUAUCAGGAGGAACACCGGUGGCGAAGGCGGGUCUCUGGACGGUGACUGACGCUGAGACGCGAAAGCGUGGGGAGCAAACAGG